CUACUGGGGUAUCUAAUCCUGUUUGCUCCCCACGCUUUCGCACCUCAGCGUCAAUACCUGUCCAGCGAGUCGCCUUCGCCACUGGUGUUCUUCCGAAUAUCUACGAAUUUCACCUCUACACUCGGAAUUCCACUCGCCUCUCCAGGAUUCUAGCCAUCCAGUUUCAAAGGCAGUUCCGGGGUUGAGCCCCGGGAUUUCACCCCUGACUUGAAUAGCCGCCUACGCGCGCUUUACGCCCAGUAAUUCCGAACAACGCUAGCUCCCUCCGUAUUACCGCGGCUGCUGGCAC
rnacentral:rRNA from 1 species